rnacentral:rRNA from 1 species
AUUGAACGCUGGCGGCAUGCCUUACACAUGCAAGUCGAACGGUAACGGGCCUUCGGGUGCCGACGAGUGGCGCACGGGUGAGUAAUACAUCGGAACGUGCCCGAUCGUGGGGGAUAACGGUGCGAAAGCUUUGCUAAUACCGCAUACGAUCUACGGAUGAAAGCAGGGGACCGCAAGGCCUUGCGCGGACGGAGCGGCCGAUGGCAGAUUAGGUAGUUGGUGGGAUAAAAGCUUACCAAGCCGACGAUCUGUAGCUGGUCUGAGAGGAUGAUCAGCCACACUGGGACUGAGACACGGCCCAGACUCCUACGGGAGGCAGCAGUGGGGAAUUUUGGACAAUGGGCGCAAGCCUGAUCCAGCCAUGCCGCGUGCAGGAUGAAGGCCUUCGGGUUGUAAACUGCUUUUGUACGGAACGAAAAGCCUUCUUUUAAUACAGGAGGGUCAUGACGGUACCGUAAGAAUAAGCACCGGCUAACUACGU